UACAGAGGUCUCAAGCGUUGUUCGGAUUCAUUGGGCGUAAAGGGUGCGUAGGCGGCGCGGUAAGUCGGGUGUGAAAUCUUGGAGCUUAACUCCGAAACUGCAUUCGAUACUGCCGUGCUUGAGGACUGGAGAGGAGACUGGAAUUUACGGUGUAGCGGUGAAAUGCGUAGAUAUCGUGAGGAAGACCAGUGGCGAAGGCGGGUCUCUGGACAGUUCCUGACGCUGAGGCACGAAGGCCAGGGGAGCAAACGGG
rnacentral:rRNA from 1 species